ACGAUGAAGCUUCUAGCUUGCUAGAAGUGGAUUAGUGGCGCACGGGUGAGUAAUGCAUAGGUUAUGUGCCCUUUAGUCUGGGAUAGCCACUGGAAACGGUGAUUAAUACUGGAUACUCCCUACGGGGGAAAGGUUUUUCGCUAAAGGAUCAGCCUAUGUCCUAUCAGCUUGUUGGUGAGGUAAUGGCUCACCAAGGCUAUGACGGGUAUCCGGCCUGAGAGGGUGAACGGACACACUGGAACUGAGACACGGUCCAGACUCCUACGGGAGGCAGCAGUAGGGAAUAUUGCUCAAUGGGGGAAACCCUGAAGCAGCAACGCCGCGUGGAGGAUGAAGGUUUUAGGAUUGUAAACUCCUUUUGUAAGAGAAGAUUAUGACGGUAUCUUACGAAUAAGCACCGGCUAACUCCGUGCCAGCAGCCGCGGUAAUACGGAGGGUG
rnacentral:rRNA from 1 species